CCUGUUUAUUGUAUAAACCUCUUCCCUUCCAAUUCAGAUUUUAUUAGCCGUAAUGCUUGGGAGAAUAGAUUCAAACUUAGUUUCUUACCUUAAAAUUAUUUGGUACCCCCCUUGACACCCCUAUGGCAUUAAUAUACAUAUAUAUAUAUGUGUGGGUAAAACCACCCUUUAUAGGGGUACUCCUUUUUGUCCUGAAGCAUGAAUGAGGUGUGUCAAGAGUACCUUGGGGAUUGUCAUGUGUUAUGUGUAUGGACAUAAUAACCUAGGCUAGGGCACAUUUACUUAUUCUUAGAAAUCUUGUCUCAUGCUACCCUAGUACUGGCAGAUUCAGAUCAUUUAAACAUUCAAUAUUAAUAUCACCACAAACUCAAGAUAAGCAGAUGAUCUUGAAGAAGCUUUGACUGUGCGUAUGGCACCUCAGACGUGAG